rnacentral:rRNA from 1 species
UGGAUUCCCCUAGUAACUGCGAGUGAAGCGGGAAAAGCUCAAAUUUAAAAUCUGGCAGUCUUUGGCUGUCCGAGUUGUAGUCUGGAGAAGCGUUUUCCGUGCUGGACCGUGUACAAGUCUCUUGGAACAGAGCGUCAUAGAGGGUGAGAAUCCCGUCUUUGACACGGACUACCAGUGCUUUGUGAUGCGCUCUCAAAGAGUCGAGUUGUUUGGGAAUGCAGCUCAAAAUGGGUGGUAAAUUCCAUCUAAAGCUAAAUAUUGGCGAGAGACCGAUAGCGAACAAGUACCGUGAGGGAAAGAUGAAAAGCACUUUGGAAAGAGAGUUAAACAGUACGUGAAAUUGCUGAAAGGGAAACGCUUGAAGUCAGUCGCGUCUGCUAGUACUCAGCCUGCCUUUUGGUUGGUGCAUUUAUUAGUAUACGGGCCAGCAUCAGUUUUGGCUGCGGGAUAAAGGUCAGAGGAAUGUGGCACCUUCGGGUGUGUUAUAGCCUCUGGUCAUAUACCGUGGCUGGGACUGAGGAUCUCAGCACGCCUUUAUGGCGGGGGUUCGCCCACCUUUCGUGCUUAGGAUGCUGGCGUAAUGGCUUUAAACGACCCGUCUUGAAACACGGACCAAGGAGUCUAACAUGCCUGCGAGUGUUUGGGUGGAAAACCCGAGCGCGAAAUGAAAGUGAUAGUUGGGACCUCUGUCGUGGAGGGCACCGACGCCCGGACCAGACCUACUGUGACGGAUCCGCGGUAGAGCAUGUAUGUUGGGACCCGAAAGAUGGUGAACUAUGCCUGAAUAGGGUGAAGCCAGAGGAAACUCUGGUGGAGGCUCGUAGCGAUUCUGACGUGCAAAUCGAUCGUCAAAUUUGGGUAUAGGGGCGAAAGACUAAUCGAACCAUCUAGUAGCUGGUUCCUGCC